rnacentral:rRNA from 1 species
ACGGGAGGCAGCAGUGAGGAAUAUUGGUCAAUGGGCGAGAGCCUGAACCAGCCAUGUCGCGUGCAGGAAUACGGCCCUAUGGGUUUUAAACUGCUUUUGCCUGGGGAUAAAGUGGCGGACUUGUCCGUUAUUGCAGGUACCAGGCGAAUAAGGAUCGGCUAACUCCGUGCCAGCAGCCGCGGUAAUACGGAGGAUCCGAGCGUUAUCCGGAUUUAUUGGGUUUAAAGGGUGCGUAGGCGGGAUGUUAAGUCAGCGGUGAAAGCGUGUAGCUCAACUAUACCAAGCCGUUGAAACUGGCGUUCUUGAGUGUAAACGAGGUAGGCGGAAUGUGACGUGUAGCGGUGAAAUGCUUAGAUAUGUCACAGAACCCCGAUUGCGAAGGCAGCUUACCAGCAUACAACUGACGCUGAGGCACGAAAGUGCGGGGAUCAAACAGGAUUAGAUACCCUGGUA